GAUGAACGCUGGCGGCGUGCCUAAUACAUGCAAGUCGGGCGAACGGACGAGAAGCUUGCUUCUCUGAUGUUAGCGGCGGACGGGUGAGUAACACGUGGAUAACCUACCUAUAAGACUGGGAUAACUUCGGGAAACCGUAGCUAAUACCGGAUAAUAUUUUGAACCGCAUGGUUCAAAAGUGAAAGACGGUCUUGCUGUCGCUUAUAGAUGGAUCCGCGCUGCAUUAGCUAGUUGGUAAGGUAACGGCUUACCAAGGCAACGAUGCAUAGCCGACCUGAGAGGGUGAUCGGCCACACUGGAACUGAGACACGGUCCAGACUCCUACGGGAGGCAGCAGUAGGGAAUCUUCCGCAAUGGGCGAAAGCCUGACGGAGCAACGCCGCGUGAGUGAUGAAGGUCUUCGGAUCGUAAAACUCUGUUAUUAGGGAAGAACAUAUGUGUAAGUAACUGUGCACAUCUUGACGGUACCUAAUCAGAAAGCCACGGCUAACUACGUG
rnacentral:rRNA from 1 species